UACGUAGGGUGCGAGCGUUAAUCGGAAUUACUGGGCGUAAAGCGUGCGCAGGCGGUUCGUUGUGUCGGCGGUGAAAGCCCCGGGCUUAACCUGGGAAUGGCCGUUGAAACUGGCGAGCUGGAGUGUGGCAGAGGGGGGUGGAAUUCCGCGUGUAGCAGUGAAAUGCGUAGAGAUGCGGAGGAACACCGAUGGCGAAGGCAGCCCCCUGGGCUAACACUGACGCUCAGGCACGAAAGCGUGGGGAGCAAACAGG
rnacentral:rRNA from 1 species